UCAGGCAGGGCUGAAGUUGCCAGUGUCA
rnacentral:piRNA from 1 species